UCAUCAUCGUACUGUGUUUACAUUAUUUUAUUAUCGCGCUAUCUUUGCUUGUAUUUUCCUUUUGUUCUUGAUAUUUGUUUUCGCUUUAUAUUUGCGAUUGUAUGGGGAAAGUCGAGACAAAAGAUUUGAGAUAAUUGCCGUUAAUUCUUUGUUUGUAAACAUUCCGUUGUAUUAUAGUUAUCUCUAACACGAAACAAUUCGUUUAAAACAAGAAACUAACGAUAAUUGUCUCAAAUUUUAUUUUGAACUCGACUCACCCAGUAAUCCGAUACAUCUUGGUCUAUCCUAACAUCCCAGACAACAUAAUGUCUAAAAUCGGAACAUAAAACGUCUUAAAGAUAAUCUUUAAGACGCCUUAAAGACAUUUAUACGUAAAUCGUCUGAAAGACAUCUUACAGAUGAUCUUUAAGACGUCUUAUGUCCCGAUUUUAGAUAUUAUGUUGUCUGGAGUAUAUAUGUGUUUCUUCUAUAUAUUUAUAUUAAAAAUAAUAAAGAUUUAUUGAGAGAAGAAAGACUGAUAUGUAUUUAGUCGAUUAUUUUAUUUAUUUAUUUGUAUUUAUUUAGUCGGUUUCUCACGGCAAAUCAAAAUUUAUAAAUAUACGCAUAGCACAGUUUAGUCGUACGACAACAUUUCGUGCAGACUUACGUAAAAUAUAGUUCAGCAGAACUUCUCACCACGGUGAUAUUGUCGGUGAUGUUACCCUUCUUGGCCGAAUCCACGCAACUGUCUCCCCAAUCCUCCAGACACGUGGACCAUGGGAGCUGCGUCGCGAAGCUUCUCACGAAGUACAACAAACUGAUCGACAUCAACGCACAGUAAUAAGUACCUACGGCGGCCGUCGAGUAUGUUUGUGCCCAGCCGACACCACGCAAUGCCGUCUCUCUCUCUCAUUACCGGCGGACCAUAUUUUCACAGAGGAACUGCUGGUAAAUUGACCCAUUAUCAUUUCCAAAUAGUAAAACGGCUUCCCCACUACGAAGAGUACGAGGAUAUACGGAAUAAGAAAAGCACCACCACCGUUUUC